UACGUAGGGGGCGAGCGUUGUCCGGAAUUACUGGGCGUAAAGGGCGUGUAGGCGGCUAGAUAAGUCAGGUGUGAAAACUGUGGGCUCAACCCAGAGAUUGCACCUGAAACUGUCUAGCUUGAGGGUAGGAGAGGAAAGUGGAAUUCCUAGUGUAGCGGUGAAAUGCGCAGAUAUUAGGAGGAACACCAGUGGCGAAGGCGACUUUCUGGCCUAACCCUGACGCUGAGGCGCGAAAGCGUGGGGAGCAAACAGGAUUAGAUACCCCUGUAGU
rnacentral:rRNA from 1 species